CUCCUACGGGAGGCUGCAGCGACGAAUCUUCCGCAAUGGGCGAAAGCCUGACGGAGCGAUGCCGCGUGUGGGAUGAAGCGGCUUUGCCGUGUAAACCACUGUCAGGAAAUAGAAACACUGAUCAUUUCCAAAGGAAGGGGCGACUAACUCUGUGCCAGCAGUCGCGGUAAUACAGAGGCCCCGAGCGUUAGUCGGAAUUACUGGGCUUAAAGGGUGCGUAGGCGGAUCGUUAAGUGUCGUGUGAAAGCCUGGGGCUUAACCUCAGAACUGCACGGCAAACUGGCGAUCUUGAGGAAGGUAGAGGCGGGUAGAACGGUUGGUGGAGCGGUGGAAUGCGUAGAUAUCAACCGGAAUGCCGAAGGUGAAGACAGCCCGCUGGGCCUUUCCUGACGCUGAGGCACGAAAGCGUGGGGAGCAAACAGGAUUAGAUACCCUGGUAGUCCACGCCCUAAACUAUGUACGCUGAGUCGGAGCGGCUCUGAUGCCGUUCGGACUGGAGAGAAAUU
rnacentral:rRNA from 1 species